rnacentral:lncRNA from 1 species
GCCGGUUCCGUCUUGGUCCUAUUAUAAAAUCUCAAGUCCAAAUGUGAGAGAGGCUUAUAAAAUCUCAAGUCCACACACGUCCUGUGCGUUGUGUGGGAUGGAAGAGAAAAUGGAAGAGAAAACAGUGAACCAUUAUUCACUCGGUGCGUGUUUUCUAGAUUUCUUAUGGUGAUGGACUUGGAGAAUGUACAGACAAGAGACUUGGAUGAAGAUAUGACUAUUGUUUGGGAUAGAUGGAUAAGUAGACGGGACUUGCCAUCCUCAUUUUCGGUUUAAUAGCUUGUUAGUGGAUCAUCUAGAAAGCCAGGAACGAUGCGAUCUUUAGAUCGGUCAAGUCUGACCCAUUGCAUGGAAUACAAAAGAUUAAAUUAUUGACGAACCAAUGGAAGUAUUAUCUGUCAUUAAAUUUGUACCACUGUAAUCGAUUUUUUAUUUUUAUUUUUAACCCCUUGGAGGCCUGUGUUGCCUCACCUCUGUAACUUAGUUUAUUCUUUCAAUGAAUGAAGUAGGUAGUGUGCUACUUAUUCCUAAAAAAAAAAGUGGCUAUUUCAUGUUAUUAAAACUCCUAAAUUGAGUACACUAUUUUCAAAGUUAGAGUGAGUUAGAUCACGCUUGUUUAUGCAUAUUUUAGAGCAGAACUUAAAUCUAACAGGUCCAGUGAUUUGUUAGUAGAGAUGUCAACGGAUCAGAUUCGGGGCGGAUUUUUAAAACCCGAACCCAAAUCCGACUCCGAACCCGAACCCGAACCCGAAUCCGAACCCGAACCCGACGGAUUUUAAAAAUCUAUAUCCAAACUUGAACCCGACCAAAAAUCCGAACCCGAACCCGAAAAUUUGAACCCGAAACAAUUAUUUUUUUUUCAAUAUUUCAAAAUAUAUUAUAUAUAUUAAAUCUAAAUUUUUAAAAUACAAAUUCAAAUAUAACAUCAAAUAUAUAUAUAUAAUACAUAAUAAAUUCGAAUUCGGAUCGGGUUCGGGUCGUACAAUCAAAAUCCAUAUCCGUCGGGUUUUUAUUUUUUAUAUCCAUAUCCGAAUCCAUAUCCAUAUCUGUCGGAUAUAUCCGUUUCAUUCGGGUUCGAAUUCGGAUAACAUUUCGGGUAUCUAUACUCAUGGAC